rnacentral:lncRNA from 1 species
CUAAUAAUUAUUCAUGUUCAAUUAUUAACAAUUGCUAAUGUUUCAAUUUUAUGUUUAUAGGUUUUGAGAGUUAGAAGAUGCAAGGAUGUUCUUCUGCAGUUUCUAUUAUGGAAGUGGCUUCAAGAAUUAUGAUUACAUUUACUUUUGAAUGCACAAAGAUGCAUGUUUGUUAUAAUGUUAAUGGGACAAUAUAAUUUGUAUUUUGUCUAAAUUUGUAAUUGUCUAAGUUUGUAGUUUUUAUUGUUGGGUUGUAAUUUUCAGCUGGAUAAUAGUGUUUCAUACAUUUUAUUUUCUUUCUAUUAGCUUG